AUUGUUGGGGGGAAUAAAGUUUCCCCCCAAAUGACAUAAAUGCCCCUAAGAAGCCGUACAACCUCCGACCCCGGACAGCCGAAGUCAGCGUCCGACCUCGGAACGCUCGGCCACAAGACGACCGACCCCGAAACCUCCGACCUAAGAGAAACCCCGAUGUCCGAGGACCGUACUCUAACACCCCUCCGGCAUUUAUUGCGCAUGGCCGCUGUAAUCUUCCGGCACACUCAACAAUAAAUGCGGAUCUCCGGCUUACUCCAUAAUAAAUGCGGAUCUCCGGCUUACUCC
rnacentral:lncRNA from 1 species